GCAUGUGGUGCACAGACUUACAAGCAAAAUACUCAUACACAUAAAACAAAUAGGUGUUUGGGCUGCAUGUCCGGCAGUGCUCACAGAAGACAGUGUUGGAUCCCCUGGAACUGGGGUUAAAGACCAUUGUGAACCAUCACACGGGUCCUGGGAAUGGAACUGGGGUCCUCUGGAAGAGUGGGCAGUGCCCUUAACUGAUGAGCCAUCUUUGUAUCCCAUUGGCAAAGAAGUUUUAAAAAGGGAGACUCAGUCAUUUAUAGUGGGAUAUGCUUGUAACCUCAGCACUUGGGGAGCAGAGGCAGGAGGGUUGCUGUGAGUUUGAGACCAGUCUUAAGUUGGUUCACAGAGCAAGUUCUAGGUAAACCAGGACUACACAGUUGUCGCAAACCAAAGCAAACCAACAACCCCUCAGCCCUAAAUGGGGCAUCUACAUCUUCUGCUCCAGUGCCGUGGGACACCAUGGGAAACUUGGCGGAAAGUGUAAGGUGAGAAGGGACUAGGGAGUGGGAGAAGGUAACAGGGAUAAACUUGGUCAUGAACAAUAAAAACAAAAUGGAAAAACAAAACAACCCACCUGUCUCACCAAAAGAAGAUCCCCUCCCCUCUUAAGUAGCCCUUUUUAAAAAGGUUUAUUGAUUUUUAUUUUAUGUGUAUGAAUAUUUUACCUACAUGUACUUAUGCAUACCUGGUACCCACACAGACCAGACGAGGGCAUCAGAUCCCCUGGGACUGGAGUUACAGAUGAUUCUGAGCUGCCGUGUGGAUGCUGGAAACCGACCGUGGGUCCUCUGUAACAGCUGUCACUGCUAACCCCCGUGCCACCUCCCCAGCCUGGGCUCUUUACCUUUUAUUCCGCAGUUUUAGAUUCAGUGCUAAACUGAGAGGAAAGUGUUGAUACAGCCUUCCCCAUUAUCAGCACAUCCCACCGGAGUGGGACAUUUGUUACAACUGAUGAGCUUUUGUUGCUGUAGCCAUCUAAGGCAGGACUCACUCUUGGUGUCCCAUGUGAUUCUGGUGAAUGUGUGAUGAUGUCAAUCAUUGUAUUGUUUGCAAUCAACUCGCGGCUUAGAAAUCCUCCCCUCUGUUUUCCCGCUUCUCCACAAGCUAGCCCAUAACCGCUGAUGUAUUUAAUAUUACCUUAGUUUUGCCUUUCCCCAGAACGUAACAGAGUUGAAAUCAUAUAGUACUUUGCUUUUUCAGAUGGGCUUUUUUUUUCACUCAGUGAUAUGCAUUUAAAAAUUCCCUGUGUUUUCCAUAACUUGGUGGAUCAUUUCUUUUUAUGUCAAUGUACCACAGUUAAUUUCUUAAGAGUGUCUUGAUUUCUUGCAAGUGUUGACGGUUAUAAAUAAAGUAGCUUGUGUUGGCUAA